rnacentral:sRNA from 1 species
GCUGAGUGUGGUGGUGCACACCUGUAAUCCCAGUGGCUUGGGAGGCCGAGGCAGGAGGAUCACAAGUUCUAAGCCAGCCUCAGUAACUGUGAGGAACUAAGCAACUCAGGAGACCCUGUUUCUA